UAGGGAAUCUUCCGCAAUGGACGCAAGUCUGACGGAGCAACGCCGCGUGAGUGAAGAAGGUUUUCGGAUCGUAAAACUCUGUUGUUAGAGAAGAACAAGUGCUAGAGUAACUGUUAGCGCCUUGACGGUAUCUAACCAGAAAGCCACGGCUAACUACGUGCCAGCAGCCGCGGUAAUACGUAGGUGGCAAGCGUUGUCCGGAUUUAUUGGGCGUAAAGCGAGCGCAGGCGGUUCCUUAAGUCUGAUGUGAAAGCCCCCGGCUCAACCGGGGAGGGUCAUUGGAAACUGGGGAACUUGAGUGCAGAAGAGGAGAGUGGAAUUCCAUGUGUAGCGGUGAAAUGCGUAGAUAUAUGGAGGAACACCAGUGGCGAAGGCGACUCUCUGGUCUGUAACUGACGCUGAGGCUCGAAAGCGUGGGUAGCAAACAGGAUUAGAUACCCUGGUAGUCCACGCCGUAAACGAUGAGUGCUAAGUGUUGGAGGGUUUCCGCCCUUCAGUGCUGCAGUUAACACAUUAAGCACUCCGCCUGGGGAGUACGACCGCAAGGUUG
rnacentral:rRNA from 1 species